rnacentral:lncRNA from 1 species
UGGAGAUGGGAUGUCCUCGGAGUCUGCUCAGAUGGGAGGUGCACGAUAGUUGAAGGCCCCCUGGGUAAAGACAGGACGAAGUGUGGGGAGAAGCUAGUCCCAGCUGCAAGGCAGACACCUGGCUGGGGUGUGUUUCAUCUCUUAUGCCACUGCACUCCAGCCUGGGUGACAGAGCGAGACUCCGUCACACACACACACACACACACAAGACAGGGUCUUGCUCUGUCGUCCAGGCUGGAGUACAGUGGCAUGAUCAUAGCUUACUGCAGCCUCCAGCUCUCGGGCUCAAGCCAUCUUCAGCCUCCCAAGUAGCUGGGACUACAGGUGCAUGCCACAUUUUAAAUUGUGUUAGAGUUGGGGUGCCACUAGGUUGCUCAGGCUGCAGACACUUUUAAAUGAACUCAUCUGAUCCUGCAACAGCCUUGUGAAGUGGGUCCUGUUAAUUCCUCUUUGACAGGUGAGGAAACUGAAGCCCAGAGAGGUUAGGACACUGGCCCAAAGUCACACAACCUGAGAGCCACUGGAACCAGAACCUAGGAGCUGUGUUUCUGUUUUCGUGCAGACAGAUGCAUUUUCCUUUAAUACUACGCUUUUCAGAUGCAGAAGGGCAGGAUCAGGGAGGUGGAGCGACUUGUCCAAGGUCUGGCAGUGAGUUAGUGGCCCUCCAAGCCUAUGUGUCUGUGCGAGGCUACAGGCUUUAGUUGAGAAGGGGCAAAAACAGCGGCCUUGAAGGAAGCCUGCCUGGUGUCUAUGUCAGUGAAGAUGUGGGCUGGUGGGCUGCGUGGUGGAGGCCUGUGGCUAGAGAUAGACUGGGGUGAGUCAAGUAUGAACAUUUAGAGUAUGAACUAGAAAUAAGACAGCGCUGGCCAGGCACGGUGGCUCACGCCUGUAAUCUUAGCACUUUGGGAGGCCGAGGUGGGCAGAUUGCCUGAGUUCAGGAGUUUGAUACCAGCCUGGGCAGCAUGGUGAAACCCCGUCUCUACUAAAAUACAAAAAAUUAGCCGGGCGUGGCAGCAUGCGCCUGUAAUCCCAGCUACUCCGGAGGCUGAGGCAGAAGAAUCGCUUGAACCCGGGAGGCAGAGGUUGCAGUGAGCUGAGAUUGUGCCACUGCACUCCAGCCUGGACAACCGAGCGAGACUCCAUCUCAGAAAAAAUCAAAAUAAAUAAUAAAAGAAAUAGCUGUAACCCUGCCCCCUUGUGGCAUCCCCAGCCAGGUUGGACUUCCCCCAUGUCUGCAACAGGCUGGGGCAUCCUCCGGAAGUGAGUGGCGGGAGGGAGGCCAGGGCUGGACCAGCAGAGUUGGGGGAGGGGAUGGGGGUGCAGGGCUGGGGACACAGGAAGUGGCUGCAGGAAAAGAGGGGCAGUCUCCAGACUCAGGGUCUCAGGACCUUUGGGUUUCCUGCCUUGUCCCCCUGCAACUCUGGAGGAGCAAGAGGCCUGGCUGGGGUUUCUCAGUUCUUGGCAGCCCACGAGUCCCCUGGGGUGGCUCAGGGAUUGGGGACUUCCCUGGAGGAAAGGACCAUGGGGUGAGCAUCUCAACUUUUGCAUUUGACUCAGAUCUUUGUCUCUUAUUUUGUAAAACCGCAGUGUAUGUGUGAUAUGUGUGCACUGACUACAAAAAAAAAAAAAAAAAAAAAGAAAAAA